CUUCGCGAUCCCAUCUGACUUUCUUCCUCGCUCCAUUCGUGUUCACCACUACCACCACACCCGUCUCCCCGGAAACCCCACAGAACCCUGCAACCACCUCCGCGCGCCGCCGCUUGCCAUGGCUGCCGCCGCCGCCAGGGCAGGCGGCCGCCCGUGGCGCGUGAUCCCGCGGCCGGUCAUGGAGACUGUCCUCCACAACCACGCCCUCCACCCGCGCGUGCCGCAGCCGCUGCUCCUCCACGGGCCCCGCGGCGUCGGCAAGUCCACGCUCCUCCUCAACCGCCUCCUCCCUCAGUGGUCCGAGCCCCCGCACUACGCCGCCGUCGUCGACUUCCUCCACCCCUCUCCCAGUUCCCCCGCUCAUGCGCCCUGGUCUCUCCUCUCAGACACGCCCCCCUCCCUGCCCUCCCUCCGCCUCCGGCUCGAGUCCGCGCUGGAGGAACUCACCCGCGCCGCAGUACUCCGAGGUGCCGUCGGUUCCAACGACGUGCUCGCCGCGCUCUCGCGGUCCCACGGCCUCCACACCAUGCUCUCUCGCCUCGCGGGCCCUGCCUCCCGCCGCGGCCAGGGCACUAACUCGGUUCCGGUGCUCUGGGCAAGGGCUGUCCUAGCUGCAACCUCCUCGGCCCGUGGUGACGACCCCACCUUCCGCAUUGGCGAGGGGGAGGCAACGAACUGCUCCAUGGAGGAGAGGGCGUACAUGCAGGAGGCCAUGGCGGCGCUGCGUGUGGCCAAGGAAGUUCUCGGGAUGCAGGAGGGGUGGAGGAAGGAGGCGGUGCGGGAGAUGAAUAGGACAGGCCGGUUCUCCCGUCCACUGGCCAAUUCAGCCACAGACUGGCCAUGCCUCCUGCUAGAUGUGUUGUCAGGCGCAGCCGAGGAGGAUUUUUUCCAGCCAAAGUUGGUGCUGAACAACGUUGAUGCCCUGAGGAAGGCGACAUGCGAGGACGAUACAAUGGUACCCGCAGCAGUGUACCAUGACAGCUUCAUUUGGAGGGUGAUAGCACUUGGUGCUAAUGAACAGUGCUUACCGGUCAUUAUGUCCACCUCAGAUGGAUAUUAUUCUUCCCAAGCAUUCGUCGAUUUUGGUUUUCCUAACAUCUUCAUUUCUCGUGAGACGUUUGGUUGGACACCACAAGAAGCUAAGCUGCAUAUGGUUUCUGAGUUCUUCAGUGAACAGGAGUGGAAAGUCGUUGAUGAGCUUCUUGGACCAAACCCACGACAAUUAUGUGAGAUAUAUAUGCUAAAGCAAAAGGCGAAUGGCCCAGAGGUUUUGCAUGACACAAACAUUGAGGAAAUUAUUGACACAUACCUGGCACACUUGCAAGUAUCUGUUGUGAAUCCCGCAAUGCAAACAGCAUUAAGUAUGGUGCAGAAGUUUGCUUCUGAUGUACGCGAGGGUAAAGUACCAGAGAACAGAUUGUCUUUUGGCGCACCUUGGAGACAUCCACCUCGGGCUGACAAUCCUGACAUGUGCUAUAAGUGGGCAAAGAUUCAACUGAUGGAUUUUGUCCAGUCUUAUGUAAACACAGAAUUUGGGUUGAAUUACCUAGCAGAUGAUAGCCUGGAAAUAUUGGAUGAUCCUGCAGCAGUCGCCAUGAUGGAGGUUGGCUUACUUUAUCAACAGAGAGAUCCAUCCUUUGUGCGACCAAUCACACGUGGGAUUCAGCGUUGUCUUGCUAGAUGGUGCGUUCUUGUACUUAUGUGGUACUGUAAAUGUUUUGUUUCUUAUGGCACUUUUUUUGUGGUUAUGCGAAGGCUUGUUCAGCAGAGACUAGAGUUGACCCUUCAAGAAUCAAUAUCAUUCUCAUGGCAACGUGUAAUUCGUGGGCGAAGCUAUCGACACUUGAUGAAGGAAGUCGGCUACAAGUAACAAGUUUAUGCCAAGAAAAAACAGGUUAAUUUCAUAACGUGGAACUGAUGUGUGAUUUUGAUGGGCUUAUAUAAUAUUCAUAAGAACGUUUGAAGCAUAUAUGAUUUUGCGCUCACUCACAUGCACAUGGAAAGGCUGCGUACUAUAGACCCAAAGUGGUCGGACCCUUCCUCGGACCCUGCGCAAGCGGGAGCUACGUGCACCGGGCUGCCCUUUUUAUUUCAACUAGCUCCAUAGAUUCUUAAGUUUGGAAGCUUGUGGUGUUUCAAUCAGAAUGUGGUCCUGCUAAACCAUUGGAGAGCAUCCAACUGACGGCGGCUGAGGAAUUUUGCAGCUCGCCGGAGGUGGACAUCUAUUUUAACUAGGAGAUCAAUCAUAGUGGCACUGUGGUUCUUUUAGGUUUAUAUUUAUACAUCGUUUUGAAUGAAGAUUGCCGGCUUUCCAUGUCACGACUGGGAACCUCGCCCAAGUGGGACCGGAAAUCAACACGAAACCUGCUUUGUCUUGGACGUACGCUGGCAAUAGCAAAAGAUAGCACUAUUACAAUUUUUUGGGGGCAUGUUUCUGUAACUAAAUAUAUGAUCAAAUUCUGCACCAGUUCAUGAUCUGACUUGCUCAUACGCGCAUGAUACUACUUUCA